UGGGCUAUUAGCUCAGUGGUAGAGCGCGCCCCUGCUUCACGGGCGAGGUCUCUGGUUCAAGUCCAGGAUAGCCCAGC
rnacentral:tRNA from 2 species